rnacentral:rRNA from 1 species
UACGGGGGGAGCAAGCGUUGUUCGGAUUUACUGGGCGUAAAGGGCGCGUAGGCGGCCAGCACAAGUCAGUUGUGAAAUCUCCGAGCUUAACUCGGAAAGGUCAACUGAUACUGUGCGGCUAGAGUGCAGAAGGGGCAACUGGAAUUCUUGGUGUAGCGGUGAAAUGCGUAGAUAUCAAGAGGAACACCAGUGGCGAAGGCGGUUCUCUGGGCAUUACCUGACGCUGAGGAGCGAAAGUGUGGGGAGCGAACAGG